rnacentral:misc_RNA from 1 species
CAAAUCGAGUAUUUAUGUCUGGUGUGUGUUGGAUGGAUGGAUGGUGUCUUGUCGGUUGACAUGGUGCUGCCAGCCCAGCCUAGCACUAGCACUAGACAGAAUAUACAUUUGCGCUUGCAGUGUUUGACAGAGUGUGUGUGCCAUUAAUUAAAGA